GUUCGGAUUGCGGCGACGUGAGCGGUUCGCCGCCCGCGACGUCGCAAGAAGUCCACUGAACCUUAUCAUUUAGAGGAAGGAGAAGUCG
rnacentral:rRNA from 2 species